rnacentral:tRNA from 2 species
GCCGCCGUAGCUCAGUUGGCAGAGCGACGCUUUCGUAAAGCGUAGGUCGAAGGUUCAAGUCCUUUCGGCGGCU